UCUUUUUUAUCGUCUCCCUGCUUCUCUCUUUGCUGUUCUUAUUCUCUCUUUUUCUUCACGCUGUUUAUACUCAUGGAUUAUAUUUUUGUUCACGCUGUUCUUUUCUUCAUUGAUUAUAUUUUCUUCUGAUGAUUUAUUUUGGUUUAUUUUGCAGGUACAAUAGGUAAGAUUUAUAUUGAAAAAGUUUGGGCAGAUGGGGAGUGCAAGCAACAAAAAGAGAAAAUGCUACGUGGACAGGUAGAAAAUCGUCUAAAAUGGAAAAGAUAGAGGAAUUAUAUAAAUGAAGAUAGAUGAAGAAAGAGAAGGGGGAGAGAGACGAAGACAAUGAGACGAAGGAUGAUCAGCGGAAGCAGAGGUCUUGAAAUCUAAACGACAGUUUCUUGGAAUAUCUCACUAACGCCUAAUAGUACGAGAUAGUAAACUUAUCUAAGUUCCAUUCUAUUUUGUUGUCAUCGUGUCCAAAAAUGUGAUGCUUUUCGAUCUACAUUUCAUAGUACAUUACUACAUGGGUUAACUAUUUCUUAUUUUUUAUUGUCAUAACUUUGAACAAAUACUUAUAGGGCCAGUUAGAAGUUAAAACUAAUUAAUGGCUCGAAAUAUAUUUAAGCACGUGACUUAUAUGUCUAGCGUUAGGCAUAUGUCACUUUUCUUGCUUUA